rnacentral:rRNA from 1 species
GACAGACGAGGCAAGCGUUAUCCGGAAUUACUGGGCGUAAAGCGUCCGUAGGUGGUUUGGCAAGUCUGGGGUUAAAGCCCGGAGCCUAACUCCGGAUCGGCCCUGGAAACUGCCAGACUAGAGUAAGGUAGGGGUUGCGGGAAUUCCCGGUGUAGCGGUGAAAUGCGUAGAUAUCGGCAAGAACACCAGUGACGAAAGCGCGAAACUGGGCCAUUACUGACACUGAGGGACGAAAGCUAGGGGAGCGAAUGGG